UUUCCGUAGGUGAACCUGCGGAAGGAUCAUUAUCGAAUUUCGAGGGGAAGGAAGAUGAGGAGUGGAGACUGUCGCUGGCUUUCCCGCCUGGGAAGCAUGUGCACGCCUUGCUUUUCGUUGACCUUUCUCUUACUCUCACACCUGUGCACCCAUUGUAGGUCCUCGAAAGAGGAUCUAUGUUUUUAUCAUCACACGCAUCGUAUGUCCAUAGAAUGUAACAUGAUCGUCGAUCGACCUCGCGGUCGGGUGGCGGUAUAAAUAAAUAAAUACAACUUUCAACAACGGAUCUCUUGGCUCUC
rnacentral:misc_RNA from 1 species